rnacentral:lncRNA from 1 species
CGGACUGAUUUGAUAAACAAAUCAGUGAAGAUGGAGACUCGUUCUGGCUCAGUCCUCGAAUUCCCGAUAGUCCACGUCCAAGACCCACUUGACUGCCUCCGAACAUCCACCGGAAUAAAGCCCUCGUUUCACUUAGCCACGUUCUCCAGCACAAAUUCCCUUUAACCCAACGAACCACUCAACUCACGAAGAAAAAACAGAUCUGACCAAAAAACUCUCGUUCACACAGAAUAAACCCACAACCCAUAUUACAAAGCAAGGUAGAAGUUUUGAGAGUAACCCCAUGAAUUAUUUGGACAGAUAUCAGCAAGAUUUU